UAGACGUACCUGCCAACUCGUCGCUAGC
rnacentral:sRNA from 1 species